GACUCGGUAAGACCAGAGACGCAAACGUUAAUCAUCUUAAACAGGCGUAAAGGGUUUGUAGGCAGCUUUCAUAAUAUUAUUUCUUACAAAAAUAAAGAAGUGGUCUGAUUGAAAGCUAGAAUCAAAAAGAGGUUAUAGUGUAUAACGCCUAGAGGAGGGCUGAUAUCCUUAGAUCCUAGGCAGAAUACUUAGGGCGAAGGCCACUCUCCACUAAUGAUUGACGCUGAGAAACGAAGGUAAGGGUAGGAAAUAGGAUUAGAUACCCCGGUACUCCUUUCUGUAAACGAUGAAUGGUAGUCAUUAGUAAAAUUAAAAAUUACUAGAGACGAAGUUAACACAAUAACCAUUCCGCCUUGUGAGUACUACUGCAAAGUAGAAAACAAAAAAAUUAGUCGGUCUCGAAGCAAACGGAGUGAAGCAUGUUAUUUAAUACGAUAAUCCGCGUAAAACCUUACCAGAACUUGCAUACAAACUAUCUUUUUCUUUACUUUGUAAUAACAAGGCAAAUAAAAGGGUGGGAGUAUUUUAUACUUUUUUUUUAAAAAAAUACUUAAGUACAGGUCU
rnacentral:rRNA from 1 species